GAACUCUGGUAUUGAUUGGUGCUUGCAUCAUGAUUUACAUUUGAGUGAGUGGCGAACUGGUGAGUAACACGUGGGAAACCUGCCCAGAAGCGGGGGAUAACACCUGGAAACAGAUGCUAAUACCGCAUAACAACUUGGACCGCAUGGUCCGAGCUUGAAAGAUGGCUUCGGCUAUCACUUUUGGAUGGUCCCGCGGCGUAUUAGCUAGAUGGUGGGGUAACGGCUCACCAUGGCAAUGAUACGUAGCCGACCUGAGAGGGUAAUCGGCCACAUUGGGACUGAGACACGGCCCAAACUCCUACGGGAGGCAGCAGUAGGGAAUCUUCCACAAUGGACGAAAGUCUGAUGGAGCAACGCCGCGUGAGUGAAGAAGGGUUUCGGCUCGUAAAACUCUGUUGUUAAAGAAGAACAUAUCUGAGAGUAACUGUUCAGGUAUUGACGGUAUUUAACCAGAAAGCCACGGCUAACUACGUGCCAGCAGCCGCGGUAAUACGUAGGUGGCAAGCGUUGUCCGGAUUUAUUGGGCGUAAAGCGAGCGCAGGCGGUUUUUUAAGUCUGAUGUGAAAGCCUUCGGCUCAACCGAAGAAGUGCAUCGGAAACUGGGAAACUUGAGUGCAGAAGAGGACAGUGGAACUCCAUGUGUAGCGGUGAAAUGCGUAGAUAUAUGGAAGAACACCAGUGGCGAAGGCGGCUGUCUGGUCUGUAACUGACGCUGAGGCUCGAAAGUAUGGGUAGCAAACAGGAUUAGAUACCCUGGUAGUCCAUACCGUAAACGAUGAAUGCUAAGUGUUGGAGGGUUUCCGCCCUUCAGUGCUGCAGCUAACGCAUUAAGCAUUCCGCCUGGGGAGUACGGCCGCAAGGCUGAAACUCAAAGGAAUUGACGGGGGCCCGCACAAGCGGUGGAGCAUGUGGUUUAAUUCGAAGCUACGCGAAGAACCUUACCAGGUCUUGACAUACUAUGCAAAUCUAAGAGAUUAGACGUUCCCUUCGGGGACAUGGAUACAGGUGGUGCAUGGUUGUCGUCAGCUCGUGUCGUGAGAUGUUGGGUUAAG
rnacentral:rRNA from 2 species